GAUGAACGCUAGCGGCAGGCUUAACACAUGCAAGUCGAGGGGCAGCGUGAAGGUUAGCAAUAACUCUUGAUGGCGACCGGCGCAAGGGUGCGUAACGCGUGAGCAACUUGCCCGUUUCAGGGGGAUAACCGGUGGAAACGCCGACUAAUACCCCAUAGUAUUGGUUUGAGGCAUCUCUUACCAAUUAAAGAAUUUCGGAAACGGAUAGGCUCGCGUGACAUUAGCUGGAUGGCGGGGUAACGGCCCACCAUGGCUACGAUGUCUAGGGGUUCUGAGAGGAAGGUCCCCCACACUGGAACUGAGACACGGUCCAGACUCCUACGGGAGGCAGCAGUGAGGAAUAUUGGUCAAUGGUCUGACGACUGAACCAGCCAUGCCGCGUGAAGGUCACGGCCCUAUGGGUCUUAAACUUCUUUUGUAAGGGAGCAAUAAGUCUCACGUGUGGGAUGAUGAGAGUACCUUACGAAUAAGCAUCGGCUAACUCCGUG
rnacentral:rRNA from 1 species